CGGCAGAUUCCGGAAUCAAAACCUACGCUGCAGUGCCUCGCCCGCGACGGCCGUCUCCCGUGGAUCGAAUUCUGACUCCUCUCACGCUCUGCUUCGAGUUCGACUUAGUUUGCUUCCACUCCCCGGCGAGUUUUCCGGUUGAUGCAAACAGAGAGAGCAAGAACUUUAGCCCCUUUGGAGUUCUCGACUAAGGCCCUUUGAAGCCCGAAUGACUAUUCUCAUCAUUACUCAUCGGAAUAUUCUUGGACGUUCUUUUCCAGCUUUAUAUUUGGGUAAUUAGUAUAUAGAUUACAGGUAUUGUUAGGGAAAUAUGUUGGGUUUCAUUUUCAUGGUUUAGUUUCCUGGCAAUAAUGGUCUGUGCCGUCGCUGGUUUUAGAUGUAAUAUGAAAGCUUCUCUUGGGGGGUGAUUGGUGGCAUGUGGUGAUUUGGUGGCAUGUGGCGAUUUCUAGUUCCUAUGAUUUGAAGUCUUUACAAGAACAUGAUCCACAUAUGAACAGAUGUAUAAUAUUACUUUGUACGCUUGGGGUUCUAGCCUUUACAUUGAGGAGUGUGACUUAGUGCGUAAACUCUUCGUUUGUGUCCCGACAUUCUCUUACAAAGGAAUGUGACUUAGUGGGUAAACUCUUCGUUUGUGUCCCGACAUUCUCUUACAAAGGUAGGGAUAUUUUCAACACCAGUAAUCUCCUUUUUUGAAACGUGCACAACCAUUGGAUGAGAACAAUCUCAAUUCUAACCUAAUGACUUUUUGUGGGAUCCGCACAGUUGUGAUGUGUAAUGUAAAUUCGGCUUAGAUUUCUCACUCCUACAUUUUAAAUGGUGUGGGAUGUAUAACACCAUUUUGGCUGCAUGGCUACUUGCACUACAAAAUCUGAGGAACUUUUGCCAAUGGUGCAGUCCAAAAUUUAACACUUGCCUUGUCAUCUAAAAGCUCCAUUGAUGUGAUUAUGCAUUUUGUUAGCCAUGCCAUUGUGAAUUCAAUCUGUCCUUGCAAUUUUAUUUUUUAUCUUUUUGCACCUUAUGCUGUUUCAGAUAAGCUAUCUUGUGAUGUUUUCUUACAUAUCCACUUUGGGCGACACCUCGCUUCUCUUCAUUUUAUAUUUCAUCUAAGGUAUUGCUUGGCCUUUCAGGAGUUAUGCUGGAUUCUCACUUCUUGUAUCAGUUGGAUUCUUCAGUGCUAUUGGAAUAAAAUCUGCCCUUACCGUUAUGGAAGUCAUCCCUUUUCUUGUUUUUGCUGUAAGUUCCAAUUGCUUAAGAAUCCUUUUUGGAAAGUUGCAUUUUAUUUUUCCUAGAUACGGUAAAUGUGGAAAACACAACAUAUUCCUGUGUUUGAGUGAUGUUAUGUCUUAACUUGUCCCAUCUCACCGAUCAAAAAAAAAAAAAAAACUGUCACAUCUCCUGGUGGCUACCCACAAGGUGUCUUCUACCAAGGAAAUUAUUUUGAGAAUUGGUUUAACGUGGUAUUAGAGGGCUCUAUCUGUGGUUCAAAAUUCAUAUACAGUUCCCUUCUUAUGCCAUAGAUCGUAUUUUCUCCUCUUUUGAGGUUUGCUUGUUUACAUCAUAUUCUAUGAGGUUUUCCACAUUUUUUUUAAUCAUUUUAUAUGUUGGUAUAUUUGCCUUUUGUGUGUACCUUAAGGUUUUAGGACUACCUAGGUAUAUCUAUGUCUUUUGGUUCCAAGAUUUUGUGGCAAAUUCAAUGGCUAGUACAAAUGCUACACGUGUUUUACUAGAAGGUUGACGCGAAAUCUUUUCAAUAAAAAUGAAUGGUACAGUAUGGUUCAGCACAAUUUUGUUGAUAAAUCUCCCUCUAGCUUCCACUGUAUCUUGAGAAUUUCCCUCAGGUCGAGGUAGAUAAUAUGUGUAUACUAGUGCAUGCAGUUAAGAAGCAUCCAUUGGAAUUGCCUUUAGAAAGACGGAUAAGCAAUGCACUUGUAGAAGUUGGACCUUCCAUAACACUUGCUAGUCUCUCUGAGGUUUUAGAAUUUAUAGUUGGAAGUUUUAUUCCCAUGCCAGCAUGCCGUGUAUUUUCUAUGUUUGCAGGUUAGAGAAUUUCUGAUAUCUUAUUUCAGUUACCUUAGGUAUUAGCAGCUAGGGGUGAGCAAUACCUGACUAACCUGUGGGUCCGACCCAACCCAACCGAAGGGUUUCGGCCGGGUUGAACAGGUAGAUCGGUCGGGUACAGAUUGAAUGCUUUUAAAAAAUUGAUUUUCGGAUCAGCAUUCGGUAAAACGGUGAACCCAACCUGACCCGACACUUAUACACACACACACACAUUUUUUAUCAUUCCCCAGGUAUAGAAAGGCCAAUAUUCCCGUUCCCACUUUCCCACCUCCCAAAGUUCUUAGCUGUUUCCCAGAGAAAAGGCCAGACGUGUUUAUUGCUACUUUUCAAACUCUAUACACGUGUUACCCUUUAAUUGGACUCCAAAUUGGCUUUGCCUCUUUACCCACACGUUUCAUUGCACGGUGCACGCUCACUCUCUUUCCCUCUUUUAUUCACGUUCCCACUCCCCUUACCAGCCGCCCCAAAACCCUACACUGAUCGAAAACUUCCAGAUCUGAAAAAUGCCGCCAGCAAGGGCCUAUGCCGUAGACUGUCCAGUCGUCCAUCGUCCCUCUCUCUCCGCACACCGUCCGGCGUCCACUCUCCAUUUUUGGUAAAUAGCGUCCACUCUCCAUCGUCUCUCUCUCUUCAAAGUUGGAUUUUAGAUUUUCGAUUUGUUACGUUUUUGAAAUUUGUUGUUUCUGUCAAAUUUUUUGUGGGUUUUUGUGAUUGAAACCAUCUCAUUUUCAAAUUUCUUUUGUAGUUUUAGCCAACCCAACCGACCCGAAAAAAGAGGAGCGGUUUGGCAGACGGUUUUGCUAGUUACACAGAUUAGUUAUGGGUGCCUACUCGACAUGGUUGGGUCGGGUGGCGGUUCAGUGCAAACCCGCCCCGCCCGUGCACACCCCUCGUAGCAGCAACAACGGUUCAUAUCAUUAUGUUUUAGGUAUUACUUGUUUGCUAAUUUGAGGCUCUUAUUAAUUGACUUCCAUCCCACAUUGUUCUUCAGCCCUGGGCCCUAGCAGUUCUCUUGGACUUCCUUCUGCAAAUCACUUCCUUUGUUGUCUUGAUUGUUCUUGAUUUCAUGAGAUCUAAGGAUAAUCGAAUUGAUUUUUUCCCUUGUACAAAAAUUUCUGGACCAUUUAUGGAACCAAAUGAAGGUACAAAUAGUAUCUCUCACAUGGCUCAAUUUUAGUUUCAUUGUCGUGAUCAUACAUUUCAUUUCAUUGCUGGUACACUUAUUUAUUUAUUUUUCUUCUUCUUUUUCUUUCUCAAGUUUGAUUGUUUAUGGAUUUAUCGUUCUCAUAGUUUUCAUCUUUUUUGUCUUCUUCGUGUAAACUCUAUUUUUGUUCACUAGUUCGAUUACUUAUCAUGGAUUUUUGUUUGUUUCUUAUGUUCUGUUAUUUUUCUCCCCAAAUUAAUAUGUUAUGCUUUGCUUCUGCAAUCUAGUUUAACAAUUUUUUUUUGUAAAAUUAGUCUUAGGCCCAUUAUGUAAACUUCAUAAGCCGACAAGUCCACCUAUUAAUUUUGUAAGGUUUCAAGUCCAUUUUAGGGUACCCUAUGGUUUAGGCACUUUCAUAAGAUUUUAGGUUGCUAUUAUAGGGUAGGGUACCCUAAGGUUUAGGCACUUUUAUAGGGUUUUAGGGUGCACUUUUCUAUUAUAGGGUUUUAGUGGUUUAGGCCCUUCCAUAGGGUUUAGGGUUUUAGGCACUUUCAUAGGGUACCCUAGAGUUUAGGUUGUAUGGACUUGUGGCUUUACAAAACUAUUAGGUGUACUUGUGGGUUUAUGAAAUGUCUAUAGUGGACCUAUCACUAUAUCUCCCUUUAUUUUUUCCCUAUCUUCUUAAGCUAUAUGUUUGCCACUUGUUUAUGUUUUUGCUCUCAAUUUUCUUUCAAGUUUAAUUGUUUAUUUGUUUUAUCUUCACUUUUACUUUGUCUUUCUCGAUAUUCUUUUUGUUUCUUUGUUCUCCUCCUCGUCCUCCUCUAUGGUCUAUUUUUUGGUCAAUUUUGAAUAUCUAUGGAUUGCAGGCAAUUUUGGAUUAUUUUUCUUCUUUUUGUCGUUCUCCUCCUUAAGCUUUGUAUUUUUUCUUUUAAUUUAAUAUUCAUGGAGUGCUAGUUGUUUUUGGAUUUUUUCUGGAUUAUUUUUGUUCUUAUUCUGUUUUUGCUUUUCAGUCUAUUUAUUCCUCCUCUUUCUUCUUAUUCUCGUUUUCAUCUCUUUAUCUUUUUCAUGUUAUAUUGUGUUUUUCUUUUUCUCAAAUUUGAUUUUUAUAUUAUGUUUCUCAUGUUAUGUUGUGUUUUUCUUCUUUCUGUUUUUUUUUUCCAGCCUAAUUGUUUCCUUUCUUCUUAAUCUCUGUUUUUAAUAGUUAUUUUUGUUGUCUUCUUCUUCGUCUUUUUCAAGUUUGAAUGUUUAUGGAUUUGUCAUCCUCGUCGUUUUCAUAUUCUUUAUCUUCUUCGUGUACACUAUUUUCUUUUCACGAGUUGGAUUAGUAAUUACGGUAUUGGUGGUAGUUAUUCGCUAUGCUUUGCUUUUUCCCAAAUUGAUUAGUUAUGACUUGCUUAGCAGUGGUUUAACCAAUUUAGUUUUCCCUAUCUUCUUAGGCUAUAUUUUUGCCACAUUUUUAUGUUCUUCUUAGACAAAGUUUUCUUUCAAAUUUAAUUAUUCAAUGUUUUGGUCUUCGCUUCUGCCUUUUUUUUCCCAGUAUUCUUUGUUUUAUCUUUGUUCUCAUUCUCUUCCUCCUCUUCUUCUCGUCCUUCUUCUUCGUUUUGUUUUUUUGUCCACCUCCUCCAGGGUCCUUUUUUUUUCCUAUUUUUUUUUUCGAUUUUGAAUUUGUAUGCAUUGUGGGCAAUUUUCUAUUAAUUUGACAUUUAUAGGGUGCUAGUUGUUUUUCGGACUUUUUCUGGGUUAUUUUUGUUCUUAUUCUGUUUUGCUUAUCAGUCUACUUAUUCCUCAUCUUUAUCUUGUGUUUUUCUUUUUUCCGGCUUUGAUUAUUUUAUGAUUUUUUUCUUUGGUUUCUGUCCUUUUUUUCCUAGUCCAUUUGUUACCUUUCUUCUUCAACUCUGUAUUUGACAGUUAUUUUCUUUCUUUUCGUUCCUCAAGUUUGAGUGCUCAUGAAUUUGUCAUCGUCGUCGUUUUCAUUUUCUUUGACUUCUUUCGUGUACACUCUAUUUUUUUUUCACGAGUUCAAUUACGUAUUAUGGAUUGUUGUUGCUUCGUAUGCCCUUUUUUUCCGAAUUGAUUAGUUAUGGCUUGCUUCUUUUUCUUCUACAAUCUGAUUUAACCAAUUUAUUUGUUCCCUAUCUUCUUAAUCGAUAUUUUUGAAUGUUGUUUAUUUUGUUUUUUUUCCUUUUUCAAGUUUGGCUAUUUCUGUGGUUGUAUUUGAAUCCGUGCCCAUGAUCCAUGCUUUAUAUUCGAAACAUUGUGUUUAGAUGCUACAAAUAACACAAUUUGGUGCUGAAAUCGAUGCACAAUUUGAUAGGCCUAUUUCGGAAUAUUUGAUUACAUGUUUGAUAUAUUGUGUUUGUUGCUGGAAUCUAAUGGUUAGAAGUUGUGUAGUCAUAUAGUUUUGUUGUUAUAAUAGUAGUCAUACUACUAGAUUAAUGGGAAUUUGAUGGCACUAUGUGUUUACCAAAUGUAAGUUUCGGAUGUUUGGAUUUGAUUUUUGUCCGUACGAUUUUAUGUGACAUUUUCUUCUUCUUAACUACUCGUCGACUGCGGAGGAGUGUUUUUUUGCUCAGUCCUAUUUGAGAGUUAUGAGUAUGAAUAUGAAGAUAAUGGUGAUGCCUCAAUGAUUCUCACCCUCAAAUGCUUUGUGUUGCAGGAGGGAUUUAUUGGGUGUUUCAAGGAUAUGUUCGUAAAACCACUAUGCAUCUUCAAUUUCAAAAACGACAAAGAUAAGAAAGAAGUGGUGGACUGGUUUCUCGGCCGUGAAGCCUCAGCUGUCCGUGUAUCCAAAUCAAGGUUUUUUUGGAAACAAAGGACGCGAUUCUACUCACUCUGUCACAUCGCCGGCAAUAUGGACGUCGAUGCCGGUACUGGAGUAUAAUUUCAACAGUCGACAAAUCUAUAUUUCCCAGGAAUGUCGAAGCUUAUUUAUCCUAAAUUGUUUUUACAAGCCUGGAUUUGGUACUUCCAACAGCAGCAAUCCUGGCAUCCGCUAGCCGUUUCGAUCGACUCCCAUAAGAUAGGUAAG